UGGGGAAUUUUGGACAAUGGGCGAAAGCCUGAUCCAGCAAUGCCGCGUGUGUGAAGAAGGCCUUCGGGUUGUAAAGCACUUUUGUCCGGAAAGAAAUCCUUGGCUCUAAUACAGUCGGGGGAUGACGGUACCGGAAGAAUAAGCACCGGCUAACUACGUGCCAGCAGCCGCGGUAAUACGUAGGGUGCAAGCGUUAAUCGGAAUUACUGGGCGUAAAGCGUGCGCAGGCGGUUUGCUAAGACCGAUGUGAAAUCCCCGGGCUCAACCUGGGAACUGCAUUGGUGACUGGCAGGCUAGAGUAUGGCAGAGGGGGGUAGAAUUCCACGUGUAGCAGUGAAAUGCGUAGAGAUGUGGAGGAAUACCGAUGGCGAAGGCAGCCCCCUGGGCCAAUACUGACGCUCAUGCACGAAGGCGUGGGGAGCAAACAGGAUUAGAUACCCUGGUAGUCCACGCCCUAAAACGAUGUCAACUAGUUGUUGGGGAUUCAUUUCCUUAGUAACGUAGCUAACGCGUGAAGUUGACCGCCUGGGGAGUACGGUCGCAAGAUUAAAACUUAAAUGAAUUGACGGGGUCAUAGCUGUUUCCU
rnacentral:rRNA from 1 species